CCUCCCCGCCCCACCGCCACCAACCCCGCAUAUAUAACAUACUGGUCCAGCGUCCCUGUUUGCCCGAAUAACUUCCCCCAUCAAGUGCCUGCCAGUGUGUGCCACCCCCUGACACUCAUUACCUGAAUCUCACAACAACCCUGGCAGGCAAAGAUGCUGAUGGAUCUGAUGGAUCUGACCCAGUCUGAGGUCAUGGGUUGCCCAACCAGCCGUCCAGAGCCUGACUUGGCUUGAGAAGUGUCCAGACCAGGGCUGGGAGAAGUCAAGGGCUUGGCAAGCACCAGACAUGCCUGACCCCAACCACGAGGUCAUGCGAAGCUUGUGACCCAUAGGCCUGGCAUGCCUCAAGGAGACAGAGACUUCUGUUACUCUGUGUGCAAGGCUUUUUGCUCACAAAUCUUGGAAUCAGGGCCCAGAAUAGGGCUGGCCACCUCUCUGAGCUUGAGAUAAAGACAUGCGUGCAGCUGGCUGUGCAGAUUUCCCACAAGAGGUCGGGUUUGUUCAACAUGCUGCUUACAGCAAGGUGGGCAGUUCUCCAAAACAAGCCUGGAAGUGAAUGUUCCCGAACGCUCUGGAGUUUGGCUCAUUAGAAGUGUGUGGGUACCUCUGGGAACCUCUGGAGCCCUUCCUCUAUGGGGCCAGCACACCCAUCCUCCUAGAUGCUCCAGUUGUUGGUGUCUAAUGCCUUACUGUGUCUCCUCCUGAGCACUAUGACCUCAGAAGUCACCUCACCCAACAGGUUACCCUCCUCACCCACAGAGUGGUUCACAGCCAACGGACAGACGUCCAGACAUACAACAGGCCAGCCCCCUCACAGGACUUUAUGUGAGAGCACGACUUUGCUCGGUUCCUUCCUAGCCUGCGUUCCUCCUUCUCGUACAGUUUCCCCCAUUAAUAAAUCACAUGUACUUGG